rnacentral:sRNA from 1 species
CCCACCUCUGCCGGCUCGUACUCGGCUCCCCCACCUCGCCGCAGAGCUAGCCCGGGAAGCCCACACUAGCGGCCACGGAGCAGAGUCCCUCACCCCCACCAGCUGUAGCUGAACGUCUGGAUGGUGGAGAAGAGCAGAUGAUCUGUACUGGACACACGUGGAGAUAUGGCCAUGCCACGCAUGUGCAAACAGAGGUGUACACACAGGAGUGCAGUGAUACAGGACACAGAUAAACAGAAUGUACACAGCCUUCAGGAAGGAUCUCAAGGUCAGGGUUCCGAGUCUGAGGAAGACAUAACCUUGUGCCUGCCUGCCCACCUCUCUCUCUGGUCCUGUUCAUCUCUCAGGCUCUGAGACACUGACCUUCACUGCUCAGUUAAAGGUUCCAGGGAUUCCACUUUGUCUGGACCCAUCCAGCUGAGUGAACCCAGGGUGGUGGUGUAUCUGGGGAGAGUGAGGAGUGGGUUGUCCAAACACCAGGGAUAGAGCCCUUUGGGGCCUCAGACAGAGGAGUGAAGCUGGAACCAUCAGGGAACAUGAGUGAAUUUUGGCACAAACUGGGCUGCUGUGUGGUAGAGAAACCCCAGCCGAAGAAGAAGAGAAGACGGAUUGACCGGACCAUGAUUGGGGAACCAAUGAAUUUUGUCCACCUGACUCACAUUGGCUCAGGGGAGAUGGGGGCCGGAGAUGGACUUGCCAUGACAGGUGCAGUUCAGGAGCAGAUGAGAUCCAAGGGAAACCGAGAUAGGCCAUGGAGCAAUUCUAGGGGCUUAUAGCUCCAAUAAUGGAAUGGUUCUGCCAUCUUGAAACCCCCAUUCUGUUUCCAGCCCAGAAGAAAUGCUGCCCCUACCAGAUCCCUCCUUGAACCAGUGAUCUAAGGACCCCUCUUUUCCCUAUCUGCCUAACAGUGCCUCACAAGGCUUGGGGGCUGGACUCCCUCUACUCCCUCUGGCUAUAGCCCCUCCUGGAGAUGGGGUCAAGGCAGCAGGACUGAUCAAGUGACUACUGGUUAGCCAGAGGAGCUCAGCUGAAGCCCUGGAAACCCUCAGGUCUGAGAUAGGAGUUCUCUAGGAACCUGGAAUGAGUUCCUGUCUCCUGAAUGAUGGUCUGGGUGCCACCUGUUUUUAAACUCUUAAACCUGGAACUCCUUAAAUGGGGUAGGUGGGUGAGAUUA